UAAAGACAAGAGCUUACUUCUGAAGAUGCCCAUAAAUCACUCACCACCACUUUAAUUUCCCUUUUUAAAAUCUUGUUUUCUUGAUAGAAAUGAGCAGAGACAAAACCAACAUCUUACCUGCUGUGGGAAAGCCUCCAGGUGCCAGGCUAUGCCCUCUCUCACCCACCUGCCAUCAGAGCAAGUGGACCCUUGGGAAAGAAGCUGUGUGCACAGUGACUCCUCUUGUCCCAGCUCCUGGAGUCUGCAGGAGACGGGCAGCUUCCUUCUUCCUCCCCGUUCCUUUUUUUCUUAGCAUUUGUGUCCAGGUGGCUACCCAUUUUUACAUCCCACUUCAGAAAAACGUGAAAAGGGACUCCUGUGGGAAAGGCCCUGAAACUUUGACCUCAGUGUCUGCGAACAAAAGGAGUCAUGUAGGAAAGCAAAAAGCCUCAGUAAGAUCUCUAGCACGGGGAUGUGAGACUUGCAAACCGAGUACAGAUGCCUUUGCAGCUGGUUCUGCCUCGAACACUCACGGUCCUACUGUGGAUAGAUCCCAUCUGGGAGCAAGGAGCACCAGAACCUAACCUUCAACCUCACUAUCUGUCUACUGCUCCCCACAGUCUUCCUGGAGUGUCAGCAGGGCCCUGACUCUUGUAGAUAUUAUCUUUCUCAUCCCUCUGAGCUGGCAAAAAACAGAGAGGCAGAAGGGAUGCAGCUGACCCCUGAGUUACAGUUUUAGGACUGGGCUGUUUUCCCUGCCCCACUUUCGUAGCUGGGGCUGGUUGGAAGGCAGUUGGGGGCCCUGGUAGUGGUAUACGCAACAAUGUUUUUUCUGAGAUCCUUACAGGGCAGCUUGACUCUGCCUCUCACUGGAACUAGGCUGCAGUGUUGGUCUGGGAUCAGCAGGAGGCCACUCACAUCAGACCUCUGCAGCAUCGUUUCCUGGCCCAUUGGUGACUUGCUCUACUAAAGUCCUCUCUGAGGACAGGAUCUGACCUAAUUGUAAAAUUAUCACGGGAGCAUCUCAAGAGGAACUACUCCUGCAGCAGUGAUCUGGGCCAGGCAGUCAUGAUGCUGAUGUACUCCUUGACAUUGUGACCAAGGGCCCCAGAGGGCUGAAAGUCGAAGACACUCAGUCCAUGGGGAACAUCCUGCCCGGAGAACAGGGGAUGGUGUCAGGCCUGCAGAACCCCGCCCGUAACUGCCAACAGUGCCUCAUCAGUCACUCCACUACCACCUUUUCUGGGGAGCAUCAAGCAGGUGUGACCUCUACACACCAUGGGCUCCAACUUUCUCGCUCAUGUAUUCAUUCUUCAGCAAAUGUUUGCCGGGGACCUACUGUGUGGUGGCUGCUUUGCUGAUGGGAUUCACACGAGAGUGGACGGCAAAUAUCAUGAGGGGAGCUCACAGCAGGUAGCAGGCUGCGCUUUCAUUUGCAUAGUGAAUCAGCACGGAAGCCUUGCUCCUGUCAUCUCAUCGGAUCUUCAGAGCAGCCCUGGAUCGGGUUAGCUAGCACUGGUUCCUAGGCUAAAAUCAGUCUCCAAAACAAUGGUCCUAGGAGGGGAUGGAGAAGAGGACCCAGCUCCCAAGUGUGCAACAUGAGCAGAGACUGCUGUGAAGACAAAGGAAUGAACACCAGUUGAGAUUCCUGGCCAAGGAGCAUCAGUGAAGAUGGUUUCUGGAAGGUACUAUGUGAGAUACCAAAGACAGUGGCAUCCAUGCUGCAGCGCCCACGAAACUCUCACCUGUGAUUCAAAUGUAGCUGCUUUGAGUCAUCCACAUCUCUUUCCUGGAAAGGGAAGAAACAGUCAUGGCUCCUAGAUGGAGCUCCUGUGGAAAUGAUUGUACCAAGAAACAACGUCUUCUUCCAAGCUCAGCGGGUGCAAUAGGCUGUGAACUAUCCCAGGUUUUGUGAAUUUGGAAAGAUGAGAGAGGUUUCACCCAUUUUAGAGAAUAUAAAUCACAGUCUGAACUGGGGAAUGCUGUGGGACUUACCGUACUGGAUCUCACCGUGUAGCCCUGGCUGGCUUGGAAACUGCUAUAUGGAACAGGCUGGCCUCAAACUCACUAAGAUCUGCCUGUCUCUUCCUCUCCAGUGCUGAUAUUAAAGAGGUUUGUCACCACAGCCAGCCUUUAAUGUAUAGUUUUUUUAAAUUUCAUACUGAUGAAGUUAUUGUGUAAGUAUACAUUUUUCAAAGAACUGCAUUAAGGAGAC